rnacentral:lncRNA from 1 species
AUAUUUUCAACUCUUAACUUUUAUUUUUGUUUAGGAUUAGCCUCUUCAUCUCCUCCCACUUCUUUAAUUUCAAAUCUCUCUCUCCUUUUAAAAUUUUCUCUGCUUGCGAUUUCUAAACUUAGACUAUUUUACAAAUUAGAAACUUUUUUAUGCCAUUGAAUUUUUAAAAUCUCUUUUCUUAAUCAAACUUGUAAAUGAAUCUAAUCAUAUUGACUUAAAGUUUCAAAAGCCAAAAAGAACUAAC